UUUUUAAUGCCGCGCCAGCCUUGUUUAGGAGAAGAAAGAAGAAGAGUGAAAAAAACUACAAUAUCAUUCUAACAAAGCAAACUGGAUUCCGUCCUUUCCAAUCUCACAAAAUUCAUCACCACGCGGCAGCACAAAACCGUUAAAAAGUACGGAUUUACCCCGCAGGCAUCGGCGCCGCACACGGAACGGAAUUGCGUUAAUCCUAAAGUUUCACCCAAACCUCGAAAAAAGGGGUUUCCGUACGCCAGGGGCCCGACGAACAGCAGCAGACAGCACUUUAAAAUAAGGGGUUCAAACCUUCCUGGUUGCGCGCUACAAGCGCAGACGAGAGAAAAAAAAAACACGAGCGGAAUAAAAGGGGGAAGCUGCAAAACACAGCGCGCAACCCGAACCGAAUCGUAGUAAGCCGCGUCGUGCGCACAAUUUGACAGCAGACAGACAGACGCACAGACCCCUUCCGCUAGGCAAGCCCAAUAUCAGCAUCAUCAUCAGCAGCAGCAGUAACUGAUUUUCUGCUGACGUCAUUCGAUUGCAUCAGCCGAAAAUCGAUAAUAAAAAGUUCAUUUUUUCCAAAAAAACUCGAGAAACUAAAAUUGUUAUUGCGGUACGCAUUAGGCAAGGGUGUGCAAGGGGUGAUACAGAAGUAGGUUAUUUCAUUAUUUGGCACUAAACUUUUGGACCCUAGCGUGUUAUUUUCGGCAGCUGUGCCAAAAAAAAAAAAACGGAGGAUGAAAAGUUUGAAAAUAAUGGGAGGAUAUCAGAUCAUCAGCGAUAAAGUGAAGCGGAUCAAGGAGGAAAAAUAACCGUGAACCCGUAAGCCACUCGAAAAAAGGCGCUUCAAUUCAAUGGUUUUGAUUCCGAAUUCAGAACAAACCCCAGCAAAUACAACCUGUGGGAACCACAAACGCACAAUCCUAAGGAUGCUGCCGACCGGUCAACGCACUCCCGGAUCAACGAACUUUGGAUGUGGAAAACAACGCCGCCACCCUUUGCUCAGGACGAGAACAAAUGAAUAAGUGAAGAAAAAAAAACUCUUAAAAUCGUUGAACUUAGCCCAGUAGCGCAGAUGUAAACGGUCGGAGGAAGGAAUGGGAUUUCCUUUUUGGGUUUUUUUUUUUCUCUCUCGCAACAUCAUCCCAUAUAUCAUCACUGGGUUUUACCUUCGCGCCCAGCCGGAAAGGUAAACGUAGGCAAGAAACUGUAAGGAGAGAUGACCUUGCAUCGGCCUAACGUGGUCCCCUUCGGUAAAAGGAAAGCAAAGCUCUGGUGACGGCAGACUUCGGUGCUGACGGUAAAGACUGUGAAAGGUCCCAGGCGCAGUUAUUCUGCUAAGUAAAGGGAGUCGAUUGCAUAUUCAAUAGUGUUACAAUGUACCUUCACAUUUUUAAAUAAUCUUCUCAUAAAAACGAACUGUUUUAUCAUCAAGAAUGUACGUUAAAAUCGGUGCUCACGGUGGUCGACAGGCUUCCAUGUAUUCACUGCAACCUUCAAACAACACCUUUUCCACAAGAGAAUACGCCAGUUUCACAGAUUUCUCAGCAGAUCAGUGUUCCUGUUGUGAUGGGGUCAGGUGGACAGCAAAAUGCACAACUUGCUAAUGAUUUCGUGAUCACUGAUAACAGCAAGGAUGCUGACGUGGCCGAUACAUCAACUACAACCUUAGUAAACAUGACGAACAUGACCUAGGCAUGCAAAAUAACGUAGAACUGGGCAAUGCUUCUCCAACGGUGAUUUAAGAAUGUGAUCAUCAAAUAAUCGCCUCUGAGCUGCAGAAAAUCCAAGCCCAAUUAAAUGAAUUCGACGGAAAAUUUUCCAUUCUUGUAAUAGAACUCAGUAAAAUUAAUGAGAAGUUGAACUUCAAGAACGAUUUCUCAGUAAGGUAACACAUUUCACGGCUAAAUUUGUUGCGACGAAAAUAUGGUCAAAAAGAAGACAAACAAUACUUUCAGGCUUUCGAAAGUAUUUUGGCAAAUGCUGAGUUUUCUCUAAAGUUCGUUCGUUACUUACAUUCUUUGUACAACCUCAACGGCAAACGCGUGUUUAGAACAAUCGUACGUAAAUUUAUGACUCCAAGUGUUUACAUUUCAUGUUCCAUGAGCAACAAACGAACAAUGAAACGGUCAACAGGUGGCCUUUAUAAAAACUUUCAGGAAUCAUAUCCCAAUGUAAUCAAGGGGAGUAUCCGUGAACAAAACAAAAAAUAACUUGAAGAUCUUUUGAGAUACAAACACUUGGAGCUGAAACGUCAUGAAAAUGGAGGUGGAGCGCAGACUAUGCAACUUACAACUCUAGAUGAGUGUUCUCAAAGACCCAUACAAUCACUGAAAACGCACGAUAAUUACACAGAACACCGAAACUAAUAGUAAAGAUGAGUCAGAAUCUUCAUCCUUCGAAGAAGAUGAGUAUGGAACGGAUGAUGAAUCUGGAAGCCGACGAAAGCAGAGGAUGAACCAGAAAAUGUUACAAACGAUUUACUUUGUAGCAAUCAAUGCAUAAGAAAUACAGAGGACAAUUUGACGGUUAUGCUACUUUUUAAAGACCUAACUGUGAAAGAUGUUUUCAUUACAAAAAAUAUCUUUACAUCUACUUUAUAGCAUGAAUCAUUGGAAAGCAAACUGACUUUACCCAUGAUAUUUUGUUUUUCAGAAUGGCUAACCAGUGCUAUCCCGAGAUCAAGCUGCCAAAAAAAACCGGCUUCCCGACGAAGUUUUCUUAUGAUGCCAAAACAAGAGCGUUGUACGGCGUUCAACCUAGACAAGCUCAAGUUAAAACCAUUAUUCUGUAAACUAAAAAUUUGGUAGUUUCCACAAAAAAACUUUUUCCCAGCCUUAUUAUUCAGUGCAACGCUAGUAAUUUGUUUUUAAGUUUUUGUUGGAAGCAACUGGAAACUAGAUCCCAGUUAACUUUUUCCUGUUUGCCCGCUGGGCUCCCUUAUGACAGCAGGACUGUCACUACGACAGAUGCCCGAUCAGCAACAAAAUCCUCAUGAGUUAAUUCGACCAUAUUGUUUUAUAGGUACCUGCUGUUAAUAAACGUGAAAUAUUUUAAUUCGUUAGUUAUGCGGUUAGUAGUAUAAAGUUUGUUCGUUUAGAAUUAAUUUCAGUGCCCUGAAAUAUAACAGUGGCGUCUCGAAUUUCGUGUUUUCGUUUACGUACACGUCGCAAAAAUGGCAAAAUAAAAACCACGGUUUCCCACGCGGUUUGACCUAUCACAGAAGUCAUGACAACUCCAGGACGGUGACAAAUCAGCUGCUCGCCAACCAACGUGGGGCCCAGGAACAACAUCAACUGCUUAUGCACCAGAAUCGAGAUGCUAUCCAGAAUAUUAGAUUACCUACAGAUUACGGAGAGUCCGAAGACCUCCGGAUUCGAUCGGUGCUAAUAUUAGUCUUCCGAUAUGACGCAGAGGAAGGCAUGACGUUCGCGGACUGGUUUUCGCGAUAUGAUGAGUUAUUCGGGACAGACUCUGCCAGGUUAGAUGUGUUUAAAUAUCUGGAAAAAUAAACACUAAUUAAUAUUCGCGCACUAAUGCCAUACUUGUGAGGUUAUCACAACAAUACUGUUUUGGUAAACAAUUCUCUUUCCAGUCGUUUCACCAACAGCAAUAGAGAAGAAUCAACUGUGGAAAAACAACCAUGUGGUCAGUUAGAUUCUUUUGUUAUGUUUUACUUAGUUGCGCGGGCAGUGCAACCAGUUUAUCUACGGGGGGUAGACAAAAUGUUUGAGACAGGCAAAAUUUUGUCUAUCUUUAAAUAGUCAGAACUUCACGAAAAAUGAAUCAUUAUUGAUGAAACCAGUUUCAUUUUAUUGUCAAACUAUUCUAGUUUCUAAAAAUUAUCAGGGAAUUCGACGGAACCAACGGACACCGGGAAUAUUUCGGAAUUUAGGAGUGUGUGUCAAAAUGUGCAUUCUUGUAACGCUUGUAACUUUUUCUGACAUAUUGUUUCUUUUAGGUUUAUAUGUAGACAAUAAACUAGAAAUUAUUCAAGGUUCAUUGGUACCCAAAGGUUGAAAAUCCGUCGAAAAACCAUCGAGAUAUGAAUAAUUUAAGUAUGUUUUUUGCAGUUUUUCUGCUGUUGGGUACAUAGUACACGAAAAAGUUUUUGUAGGAAAAACUUUUUUUUUAAGAGUUUGCACUGUGGUUUGUUCUGAAAAGUUUUAGGUAACUAAAUUGUCUAUCUAAAAAUCUUCAUUUAAAAAAAAAUCUAAAAUAACCGAUAUUUUUAAAAUAACUUUGGGGCCAUCCACAUACCAAUGAACAGUUUUUUAAC